rnacentral:rRNA from 1 species
CGGAGUACGNUCGCAAGAUUNAAACUCAACAGGAAUNGACGGGGGCCCGCACAANCGGUGGAGCAUGUGGUUCAAUUCGAAGCAACGCGCAGAACCUUACCAGCCCUUGACAUGUCCCGUAUGAGUACCAGAGAUGGAACUCUUCAGUUCGGCUGGCGGGAACACAGGUGCUGCAUGGCUGUCGUCAGCUCGUGUCGUGAGAUGUUGGGUUAAGUCCCGCAACGAGCGCAACCCUCGCCCUUAGUUGCCAUCAUUCAGUUGGGCACUCUAAGGGGACUGCCGGUGAUAAGCCGCGAGGAAGGUGGGGAUGACGUCAAGUCCUCAUGGCCCUUACGGGCUGGGCUACACACGUGCUACAAUGGCGGUGACAGUGGGACGCAAUGGAGCAAUCCUGCGCAAAUCUCAAAAAACCGUCUCAGUUCGGAUUGUGCUCUGCAACUCGAGCACAUGAAGGUGGAAUCGCUAGUAAUCGCAGAUCAGCACGCUGCGGUGAAUACGUUCCCGGGCCUUGUACACACCGCCCGUCACACCAUGGGAGUUGGUUUUACCUGAAGGCGGUGCGCUAACCCGCAAGGGAUGCAGCCGACCACGGUAGGGUCAGCGACUGGGGUGAAGUCGUAAUAAGGUACC